rnacentral:rRNA from 1 species
AGCUCCAAUAGCGUAUAUUAAAGUUGUUGCAGUUAAAAAGCUCGUAGUUGGAUUUCUGGUGGGAGCGACCGGUCCGACGCUUAGCGUGGGUACUUGUGUCGUCUCCGGCCAUCCUUGGGGAGAGUCUGUCUGGCAUUAAGUUGUCGGGCAGAGGAUCCUCAUCGUUUACUGUGAAAAAAUUAGAGUGUUCAAAGCAGGCUUAUGCCGUUGAAUAUAUUAGCAUGGAAUAAUAAGAUAGGACUUUGGUACUAUUUUGUUGGUUUGCGCACCAAAGUAAUGAUUUAUAGGGACAGUUGGGGGUAUUCGUAUUUCGUUGUCAGAGGUGAAAUUCUUGGAUUUACGAAAGACGAACUACUGCGAAAGCAUUUACCAAGGAUGUUUUCAUUAAUCAAGAACGAAA